ACAAUGUGGCGGUCUUUGGGGAGUAGCCGGCCCUGGCAGCCAGUGCCAGGGAGCGGAUGUCAACACACUUGGGGCCUCACGCCCCAUGGCAUCUGCAAUCCACGGAUGGGCGAGACCAUUGACCGCACACCGUCCAUUGAGCCGGAGCCGGGGUGCGGUCGAUGCAUUCGCACCACCGU
rfam:Burkholderiales bacterium RIFCSPHIGHO2_12_63_9 rifcsphigho2_12_sub10_scaffold_46029, whole genome shotgun sequence.